rnacentral:rRNA from 1 species
CGCGUAGGUGGUUUGGUAAGUCAGAUGUGAAAGCCCCGGGCUUAACCUGGGAACUGCAUUUGAUACUGCUUGACUAGAGUAUGGUAGAGGGAAGUGGAAUUCCAGGUGUAGCGGUGAAAUGCGUAGAUAUCUGGAGGAACAUCAGUGGCGAAGGCGACUUCCUGGACCAAUACUGACACUGAGGCGCGAAAGCGUGGGUAGCAAACA